rnacentral:tRNA from 1 species
GGGGUUGUAGCUCAGAUAGUAGAGCAUUUGCCUUGCAUGUAUGAGGCACUGGGUUCAAUCCUCAGCACCA